rnacentral:rRNA from 1 species
AUUGAACGCUAGCGGCAGGCCUAACACAUGCAAGUCGAACGAGUGGCGGACGGGUGAGUAAUGUCUGGGAAACUGCCCGAUGGAGGGGGAUAACUACUGGAAACGGUAGCUAAUACCGCAUACCAUCGGAUGUGCCCAUAUGGGAUUAGCUAGUAGGUGGGGUAACGGCUCACCUAGGCAACGAUCCCUAGCUGGUCUGCGAGGAUGACCAGCUACACUUGAAAUGAGACACGGUCCAGACUCCUACGGGAGGCAACAGUGGGGAAUAUUGGACAAUGGGCGCAAGCCUGAUGCAGCCAUGCCGCGUGUAUGAAGAAGGCCUUCGGGUUGGAAAGUACUUUCAGCGAGGAGGCGUUACUCGCAGAAGAAGCACCGGCUAACUCCGUGCCAGCAGCCGCGGUAAUUC